AGUGAACGCUGGCGGUAGGCCUAACACAUGCAAGUCGAACGGCAGCACAUUAAGAGCUUGCUCUUACGGGUGGCGAGUGGCGGACGGGUGCGGAAUACAUCGGAAUCUACUUUUUCGUGGGGGAUAACGUAGGGUAACUUACGCUACUACCGCAUACGACCUACGGGUGAAAGCAGGGGAUCUUCGGACCUUGCGCGAUUGAAUGAGCCGAUGUCGGAUUAGCUAGUUGGCGGGGUAAAGGCCCACCAAGGCGACGAUCCGUAGCUGGUCUGAGAGGAUGACCAGCCACACUGGAACUGAGACACGGUCCAGACUCCUACGGGAGGCAGCAGUGGGGAAUAUUGGACAAUGGGCGAAAGCCUGAUCCAGCCAUACCGCGUGGGUGAAGAAGGCCUUCGGGUUGUAAAGCCCUUUUGUUGGGAAAGAAAAGCAGCAGGUUAAUACCCCGCGGUUCUGACGGUACCCAAAGAAUAAGCACCGGCUAACUUCGUG
rnacentral:rRNA from 1 species